rnacentral:rRNA from 1 species
CCUACGGGAGGCAGCAGUGGGGAAUAUUGCACAAUGGGGGAAACCCUGAUGCAGCAACGCCGCGUGAGUGAAGAAGUAUUUCGGUAUGUAAAGCUCUAUCAGCAGGGAAGAAGAAAGACGGAAGCGGACUAAGAAGCCGCGGCUAAGUACGAGAAGGAAGCCGCGGUAAUACGUAGGGGGCAGGCGUUAUCCGGAAUUACUGGGUGUAAAGGGAGCGUAGAGGGGUGUGCAAGUCUGGAGUGAAAGCCCGUGGGUCCAACGCGGAACUGCGGUUGAAACUGUAGAGCUUGAGUGCUGGAGAGGCAGGCGGAAUUCGUGGUGUAGCGGUGAAAUGCAUAGAUAUUAGGAGGAACACCAGUGGCGAAGGCGGCCUGCUGGACAGAAACUGACGUUGAGGCUCGAAAGCGUGGGGAGCGAACAGGAUUAGAUACCCCAGUAGUC